AUUGAACGCUGGCGGUGUGCCUAACACAUGCAAGUCGAGCGGUAACAGGUGUAGCAAUACAUGCUGACGAGCGGCGAACGGGUGAGUAAUGCUUCGGAAUCUACCCAAUGGUGGGGAAUAACCAGCCGAAAGGUUGGCUAAUACCGCAUACGUCCCACGGGAGAAAGCAGGGGAUCGCAAGACCUUGCGCCAAUGGAUGAGCCGAAGUCGGAUUAGCUAGUUGGAGGGUAACGGCCUACCAAGGCGACGAUCCGUAGCUGGUCUGAGAGGACGACCAGCCACACUGGGACUGAGACACGGCCCAGACUCCUACGGGAGGCAGCAGUGGGGAAUAUUGGACAAUGGGGGAAACCCUGAUCCAGCGACGCCGCGUGUGUGAAGAAGGCCUGC
rnacentral:rRNA from 1 species